rnacentral:misc_RNA from 1 species
AAGACUAUAGACCUGCGGAGUACCUGCGGAGGGAUCAUUACUGAGUGAGGGCCCUCUGGGUCCAACCUCCCACCCGUGUUUAACGAACCUUGUUGCUUCGGCGGGCCCGCCUCACGGCCGCCGGGGGGCAUCCGCCCCCGGGCCCGCGCCCGCCGAAGACACCUGUGAACUCUGUCUGAAGUUGCAGUCUGAGAAACUAUUUAAAUUAGUUAAAACUUUCAACAAUGGAUCUCUAGAUCG